UUUUCGAAUGAGUCUUUGUCGAUG
rnacentral:siRNA from 1 species